AGGAUAAACGCUGGCGGCGUGCCUAACACAUGCAAGUCGAACGCGCUUUUUCGCAAGAGGAGAGCGAGUGGCGGACGGGUGAGUAACACAUGGGUACCUACCUUGGAGUGAGGGAUACCGGCGAGAAAUCGCCGACAAUACCGCAUACGCUUCUCUUCACCGGGAAGCAAAGUUGCGCAAGCGACGCUCUGAGAUGGGCCUGUGGCCGAUUAGCUAGUUGGUGGGGUAACGGCCUACCAAGGCGACGAUCGGUAGCUGGUCUGAGAGGACGAUCAGCCACACUGGGAUUGAGAACGGCCCAGACUCCUACGGGGGCAGCAGUGAGGAAUUUUCCGCAAUGGACGCAAGUCUGACGGAGCAACGCCGCGUGCAGGAUGAAGGUUUUCGGAUCGUAAACUGCUUUUCGUCGGGGACGAGCAAGGACGGUACCCGAGGAAGAAGCCCCGGCUAACUACGUGCCAGCAGCCGC
rnacentral:rRNA from 1 species